ensembl:lncRNA
AUGGAUGGUGGUUCCCGAAGGGUUUCCCUGAUGCGUAGGCAGGUCUCUGCCUCAUCCCUCCGCUCCGAGGGACAGGUUUGUGUAGCCGAACUCGCCAAGCCAAGGUGCGGUCGCUCAGAUUCUCUGGCCAAGCCAGACCCGUUAGUUGUAUCUCUGCUCCAGGCCCUCACAAAGGCAGGCAUCCCGCUUUCCGAGAUGGAAUUCUUUGAGAGUUUUCUGCAUCAGCUGGGGGCUCGACGCCCCGUCCCAUCCAUGGCCCAAAUCCACCGCACCUUUCUUCCAGCCUUGGCUCGACAUCACGAAUCAGCUCUUCGGCGCACCCUACGGCACCGCGAUGCGUUUGUUUUCCUACAUGAGGCAACGACCGGGGAUGGGCGUGCUGCCUUGGGUAUUUCUCUUCUGCCUCUUGACAGGGCUGGCAAGCCUCCAUUGCUCCUUGGGGUAGAGUUCCUGGAACAGCUGAGCCACGCUUUAGUGUCCCGUGCUGUGGCCCGUGUGCUUAGCGAGGGGCAUGUCCUAUUCCACCGGGUGCUGGCUGUGAUAACCUCCGGCAGUGCCCCUAUGAUACAGGCCUUUGCUGCCAAUGGGAUUUUGGGCACGGUGUUAUCAGCUGCCCUCCAUAUACCUUGCCUCUUGCAUCAACUGGAGCUGGUGAUGGAGCUGUGGCAAGAUCGGUUGGAAAGGCUGGCGACGCUGCUCCAUCUUCUAGAAGAGACGCUGGGCCGGCGGGCUAGCCUCCGUCACCGUUAUGAGCUCUUUUUGCACGAGCACGAGUCGGGGCUGACUCUGACUCUGCCCAAUGACCAAACCGGCCCUGAGGCUUGGCUGGAGAAAGCCGUGGGCAUUGCAGAACAUCUCCCUUUCCUGGUGGACUUUGUCGCCACGGAUGAAGAGGAGGGGUCCCUCAUGUCAAAGCUACAGACACUUCUAGGGGAAGGCAAUGAGGCGCUGGUGGCGGAAGCAAUAUUUGCAGCCGAACAUGCCCCAGCACUUCUAAAUAUGGCGCAAUUUCUCCGCCAGAGAGGUGAGCCGCUGGCCCAUCGGAUCUAUGGAGAGCUGGACUCUUUGCGCAUUUCUUUCUCCUACCACGUAGAUGCCGGGUUGGGCCCCAAAACAGAAAGGCAUUUAGCUUUGUGCCAACCUCCACUUGCCGAGCACUUCCGGGGGAUCCUGGCUCGUAGCCUCAACCGGCUGGAGCACUUGUUGGAGUCUCACCCCGCCGUGCCCACUUUGAGAGCAGUGCGGGCGCUCGAUCCCAAGCAGUUGGGUGCUGUGGGUUGGAGCCGUUCAGAGCACGAGCAGGGGAUCCCGGGGCUGGCAGAGGUGCCAGAGAUUGAGUGGUUCCGAUACCAGCACUUGGCCGAAGCGGCCCCUGCAGACGUCUCCCUGCCUCAGUGGUGGGAGGCGCAAGCGGAGCGGCUCCCCACCCUCGGCCCUCUUGCCCAACAAUUUCUUUGGCUGCCAGUCUGUUCUCCCAAGUCCCCCUUCCACCCUGGGGGCAUCCUCAACCUAACAGGGGCUGGAGAGGGAUUUACAGAGGAGUCUGUGCGCUUACUGUGCAUGAUACGGUACAACCGCAAUCUCUAUUAG